rnacentral:rRNA from 1 species
GACGAACGCUGGCGGCGUGCCUAAUACAUGCAAGUUGAGCGAUGAAGAUUGGUGCUUGCACCAAUUUGAAGAGCAGCGAACGGGUGAGUAACGCGUGGGGAAUCUGCCUUUGAGCGGGGGACAACCUUUGGAAACGAAUGCUAAUACCGCAUAACAACUUUCAACAUAAGUUUUAAGUUUGAAAGAUGCAAUUGCAUCACUCAAAGAUGAUCCCGCGUUGUAUUAGCUAGUUGGUGAGGUAAGGACUCACCAAGGCGAUGAUACAUAGCCGACCUGAGAGGGUGAUCGGCCACAUUGGGAGUGAGACACGGCACAAACUCCUACGGGAGGCAGCAGGAGGGAAUCGUCGGCAAUAGACGAAAGUCUGACCGAGAAACGCCGAGUGAGUGAAGAAGGUUGUCGGAUCGGAAAACUCUGUUGGUAGAGAAGAACGUGGGUGAGAGUGGAAAGCUCAGCAAGUGACGGUAACUACCCAGAAAGGGACGGCUAACUACGUG